ensembl:lncRNA
CUCCGGGUGGCAGUAGCACAUGAUAAUCUACCUGAAUUCUCCUCAUGUUUGAAGGAUCUGAAAACAUACUUGAUACGGGUACGUGUUUAGUCUCCUACAACCAAUGAGCUAUCUAAAUUCAUAGGCUCCAAUGUCACACAGCUGUAAUCUUGGUGGAAAGUUAAACCAGUGAACACAUCACCACUUAGAACUUGGGGAGUGAGUUAAGGCUAUUUGGUUUAUCAGUCGUCUUCCCAUUCUGCCGUAAUUGUAUUAUGAAUGUUUUGUUCUUCUACAGAAGCCGCACUUUCUGCGUUUAUCUGUUGCGUGGUGACAUCUGCCUUUGUUUCUCUCGUUUUUCCUCUACAAAAUGGAACAUGUUCUUCCUCCCACUAGUUAUUGGGAGGUUUCCUCGGUACGUUUGGGACAUAUUCUACCAGCAGGUCAAAAGACAAGUUGCAUUUUGACUUUGCACGUGAUGUAUGACCUUUAACAAAAGGACACAGGUUCAACGCAGAAGCGUAGUCUUUAAACACUACCCCUGCCUCCUAGUUUGGAACAAGGACACUCUUGCUGCCUGAUAUGGUGAUAUGUCCAAGUCCAGCUCCAAAUUGGGUCAUUUGAUAAACCUGGGAUGAGGGUACUGCUCAAACAGUUUCCAGAAAUGCUUGCUUCAGUGUGGAACAAAUGCUGGAUCGUUUGGUCAUCCAAAAUCCAGGUGAUCAGGAAUCAUCUCAGAACCUACCCGUUUUCAAGCUGCAGCUUUGAGCCUACUCUGUGCAAAGUGUCAGGAAAGACUUUUGUCCUCAAAGCUGAAGAAACGUUUCCCACCAGUGUGGAUGAAGGUGUCUCUUCCCCCGAAGGGCAUAGACGAGUAGCGUGCAGAACGUGAGUUAAGUUCUGUUCUCAUGCUUGAACAUAAAAAACUGCUGGUUUUAGUCCAUCUGCACAUCUUCCUUAAAGUCAAAUCUUGAAGGAUCUAAUCUAACGUACUUGAGCAAACAGCAGACAGACACAGUGGAAGGG